rnacentral:miRNA from 1 species
GAAGCUCGUUUCUAUAGAGGUAUCU